UACGUAGGGGGCUAGCGUUAUCCGGAAUUAUUGGGCGUAAAGCGCGCGCAGGCGGUUUCUUAAGUCUGAUGUGAAAGCCCACGGCUCAACCGUGGAGGGUCAUUGGAAACUGGGGAACUUGAGUGCAGAAGAGAAAAGCGGAAUUCCACGUGUAGCGGUGAAAUGCGUAGAGAUGUGGAGGAACACCAGUGGCGAAGGCGGCUUUUUGGUCUGUAACUGACGCUGAGGCGCGAAAGCGUGGGGAGCAAACAGG
rnacentral:rRNA from 1 species